UGAGGAAUAUUGGUCAAUGGACGAGAGUCUGAACCAGCCAAGUAGCGUGAAGGAUGACUGCCCUAUGGGUUGUAAACUUCUUUUAUACGGGAAUAAAGUGAGGCACGUGUGCCUUUUUGUAUGUACCGUAUGAAUAAGGAUCGGCUAACUCCGUGCCAGCAGCCGCGGUAAUACGGAGGAUCCGAGCGUUAUCCGGAUUUAUUGGGUUUAAAGGGAGCGUAGGCGGACGCUUAAGUCAGUUGUGAAAGUUUGCGGCUCAACCGUAAAAUUGCAGUUGAUACUGGCAGUCUUGAGUACAGUAGAGGUGGGCGGAAUUCGUGGUGUAGCGGUGAAAUGCUUAGAUAUCACGAAGAACUCCGAUUGCGAAGGCAGCUCACUAGACUGUCACUGACACUGAUGCUCGAAAGUGUGGGUAUCAAACAGGAUUAGAUACCCUGGUAGUCCACACAGUAAACGAUGAAUACUCGCUGUUUGCGAUAUACAGUAAGCGGCCAAGCGAAAGCAUUAAGUAUUCCACCUGGGGAGUACGCCGGCAACGGUGAAACUCAAAGGAAUUGACGGGGGCCCGCACAAGCGGAGGAACAUGUGGUUUAAUUCGAUGAUACGCGAGGAACCUUACCCGGGCUUAAAUUGCAACAGAAUAUAUUGGAAACAGUAUAGCCGUAAGGCUGUUGUGAAGGUGCUGCAUGGUUGUCGUCAGCUCGUGCCGUGAGGUGUCGGCUUAAGUGCCAUAACGAGCGCAACCCUUAUCUUUAGUUACUAACAGGUCAUGCUGAGGACUCUAGAGAGACUGCCGUCGUAAGAUGUGAGGAAGGUGGGGAUGACGUCAAAUCAGCACGGCCCUUACGUCCGGGGCUACACACGUGUUACAAUGGGGGGUACAGAAGGCGGCUACCUGGUGACAGGAUGCUAAUCCCAAAAACCUCUCUCAGUUCGGAUCGAAGUCUGCAACCCGACUUCGUGAAGCUGGAUUCGCUAGUAAUCGCGCAUCAGCCAUGGCGCGGUGAAUACGUUCCC
rnacentral:rRNA from 1 species